rnacentral:rRNA from 1 species
UACGAAGGGGACUAGCGUUGUUCGGAAUUACUGGGCGUAAAGCGCACGUAGGCGGAUUUGUUAGUCAGGGGUGAAAUCCCGGGGCUCAACCUCGGAACUGCCUUUGAUACUGCAAGUCUCGAGUCCGAUAGAGGUGGGCGGAAUUCCUAGUGUAGAGGUGAAAUUCGUAGAUAUCUGGAGGAACACCGGUGGCGAAGGCGACAUCCUGGACCGGUAUUGACGCUGAGGCGCGAAAGCCAGGGGAGCAAACGGG